rnacentral:tRNA from 1 species
GAGAGGUGGCAGAGUGGUCGAAUGCGCCGGUCUUGAAAACCGAUGUACCGAGAGGUACCGGGGGUUCGAAUCCCUCCCUCUCC